AUCUACUUUGUGACCUAACAUUCAAUCGUUCAAACAAUCUCACAGGAAUCGUUGAGUGUUAACAUAUGACUAGUAAAGUAAUGAAAUGAAAUGAAAUCUCCGUGAACAACUUUGCUGAGAUGGACGAGACGAUAUCCAGUUUUGUGAGUACUCAUUUACAUCUCCUACAGUUGGAACAAGAGGAAAAUCUAGAACAUGUCUUUAACAACAUCUCUUCAAUUGCUCUGCGUAACCUGCAAAAACAAGGGGAAGCCUUGAGUAAACUUGUUGUGGGGAGCCUUGGUAGCCGGGGUCUAAGACAGCAGGUAGACUUUGUCGACCAUGAUAAUCUUCCGCUAAAACAUGGUUUUGUUGUUGGCGACUUAGUCAUCUGUAUUCAGUUAAACAACCGCAGUCGUCUACUGCGAGGUUUAGUAUGUGCUGUUGGAGAAAGAACAAUAUCAGUUUUGACAGAGAAUGUUGAUGAAGAGGAACAGUAUGCCCUAAUCAAGGCUGACUCUGAUUACACCUAUAACUGCCAGACAAGAGCCCUGAUAACUUUGAAGUCCAAAGAGAUAUAUACAUGGCCCUGUUUCCCCAUUAUUCAAAUACUUUUUGAUAAUGAUGAGAAAGUUGUCAAAGAUCUGUUGCAUGCUGAUAUUCCAAUUCCUGAAAAAUUUUUGGCUGACGAUGGUGACUUGACAUUCAUCAAUCCGAAAUUGGCGGUCGAUCAAAGAGCAGCUGUAAAUUUUGCUCUCCGUAGAAAAUACCUUGCUAUUAUUCAAGGGCCUCCGGGUACUGGAAAGACCACAACAUUAGUCGAAUUAAUCGGGCAACUACGCGGGUUUGGUAAGAAGGUGUUGGUCUGUGCACCAACCAACGUAGCGGUCGAUAAUGUAGCCGUUAAGCUUUGCGAGGCUAGUAUUAAACCGCUGAGAAUGGGUCAUCCAGCUCGAAUAGCCAAAAAAGUACAGAGCUGCUCAAUGGAUGCAAAUGUCCGACAAGAUGGAGCGUACGAAAUUUUGAUGGACAUAAAAAAAUCUCUUAACGAGCUGCGAGAAAAAAUGGAUUGUGCUAAACCAUGGGCCAAAGUUAAAGAGCUGAAUAAAGAAUACAAAGAAAGAAUGGAUAAACUUACAUCCGAGAUAAUUAAAAGACACUCUGUUAUUAUCUGUACGUUGAACUCUGCUUCAACCGGUAAAUUUGCAAAAGCUCUUCGGCAUGUGCCGAAAGAUUAUUUUGACGUUGUUGUGGUAGAUGAAGCUUCUCAGGCUUUAGAAGCUUCGAACUGGAUCGCCAUACCAAAUGCACCAAAGCUUGUACUAGCUGGAGAUAUCAAUCAGCUACCACCAGCUGUAAUGAAUCAAAAGGCAGCAAAAAAUGGGCUGAGCCUUAGUUUGAUGGAGAGAGCUAUUAAAAAAUUGGGACAAGAUUCAUUCAGGAGCCUUGAAAUUCAAUACAGAAUGAAUGAAAAGAUAAUGGCAUGGUCUAGCAAACAGUUUUACGACAAUACUCUCAAAGCUGACAAACUUGUUCAGAAACACCUGCUCAAAGAUCUGCCUGGGGUGACCUCCUGUGCGAUGACAAAUGAUUCUCUUUUAUUCGUUGAUACUUGUGGAUGUGAAUGCGAAGAAUAUCAGAUAGGUAGCGAAACAAUAUCAAAAGGUAAUGUUGGAGAAGCGAUUGUAGUAGAUCGCAUAGUCUCAGCGCUAGUAAAGGCUGGUGUACCCGAAUCUGGGAUCGGAGUUAUAACGCCGUAUGCCUUGCAGGUCGAUUUUAUAAAAAAAACUUUAUCUGCACGAUCAAUAUCUGCUGAAGUUAGUACAGUAGAUGGAUUCCAGGGUAGAGAAAAAGAAAUUAUUAUCCUGUCUCUGGUCAGAAGUAAUGAGGAAAAAACACUGGGAUUUGUGACCGAUUUUAGACGACUAAAUGUUGCAGUUACAAGGGCAAGACGCCUCUUGGUUGUAAUAGUCAAUAGUGAGACAGUCGAAGAUAACAAAUUAAUUACUAGUUUGUUGAAGCACAUCGAAGAUAAUGGGGUCCUAGAAACGGCCCAGGAGUAUUUGGGAGAUGAUUUGGAAGACUUAAAGAAGGAACUAGAAGAAAACGUCAAAGUAAAACACAAAGUUACUGUUUCUGAAAGAGAGGAGAUUAAAGCAGAAAAAAAGAAAAAACCGGUAUCAAAAAAUACUGUUGAAAUGAAAGAGGAUAAGAAUCUAAAGAGUGUUCUCAAAGAUAAAGGAAUCGACUUGAGUGUAAAUUCCAACCGGAAAACUUACAACGUUUUUGAUUAUAUCGGUGAAAAUACGUCCGACUUCGAAGAUGACUAUGCAUCAAUAUUACAAGAACUAGAAAUUACAGUUGACGAAGCUUCAGCUGCCGGGCCAGGUAAAUCCGCACCGCCAAUGGAGAAAGAAGAUUCGAAGCCAAAAAUCGAAAUAUCCAAUUUGAUCGCUAGUCUUAAACAACUUGCAUCGCCUUCAGUUGAAAAUGACCCUGUAGUUCAGCCUGAACCAUCGUCCAAUGCCCAGAAAAAAAAGAAGAAAUCGAAGAAUCUUAAGCCUAAAGAAGAAGAAUUGAACGAUGUGGAUGACUUUGAUAAAAUGAUAGCUGCUGUUACUGCAAAAAAUCGCAUCUGUGCCAUGUCGGGGUGCAAAAGAUCUACCGAGUUGAUUCAGUUCGAUUGCGAAUUUUGCAAAUCUAGAUACUGCCUAAAACAUGGAAUGCAGGAAAUUCACGGAUGUGGUGAGGCAGUGCGUAAAAAGGAGAGAAAAGAAUUUACCCAUCGGAAACCGGAAGUCUGUGAAAAAAAGGACAAGGAAAAAUUUGCCAGGAAAUUAAAGCAACUAGAGGAGGCUCGUAAGCCUAAGAAAAAAGUUAACAAAUAGAUUCAACUAUGCUGUUUAAAUUUCUACUGCCACAUUUAUUACAGUUGCAGAGCAUCUUACAAAUCUUGUGAUUACAUUAUUAUAUAAAGGAUUACUUUGACACUGUUCGAGAGAGAAAAAGACUUUACUCACUUCGAUUAAUUCGGU
rnacentral:misc_RNA from 1 species